UAUUUGCAGGUGAGCCAAUGGUGGCCGCAGAAAUGGGUGUGUGGGAUAACUACUGUGUGAAGAAGCAGCUGCUUCACUCCUGUACUGUGAUCGCCACCAACAUUCUCCUGGUUGACGAGAUCAUGAGAGCUGGGAUGUCCUCUCUGAAGGGCUGAAGUCUGCCUGGGAUGCUACAGAAUGUUGGGGGGGGGGGGGUUGUCCAAGCUUCAAGUGAUUUGGAAAAGAAUUUUCUCUUCCUGAUUGGAGAAAAGGAACAGGACAUUUGGCACCUAUUCAAAUUAUAAUACUGUAAAUUUUAUUUAAUUUUUUUUUGCAUUGAGUGAAUACACUUAAAGCAGGUCUUUUUAAAUCCACUGAACAAGAUGUUUUCGUUACAGUGAUACAAAAUUACAUAAUAAGCAUUGUUGUCUACCUUGUUCCUCAAGUGUUCUUUGAAAUUUUAUAAUGGUUUUCUCCUAAAUAAGGCAUGGCGAUUCCUGCCUGUAAGCCUAGCACUUUGGAAAUAAAGUCAGAAGUUCUGCACCAACUCAGGCUACAGGAGACCCCGGCUCAAAAGAAUAAUUUUGUUGUGGAUGUAUUUGAUGUUAUCUACCCAACUCCCUGUUAUACAUGUAAGAUUCUUGCCAGUGUAAAACACAUAUGGGUAAUUUAUGGGUUUCAUAGUGUCUCUAAUAAAUACUUAAGAGUGAAGCUACUGGGUCAUUCACACUUGAAAUAACUGC
rnacentral:lncRNA from 1 species